UGGUCCUGACCUUAAAAUCAAUUUUUACUUAACUUACACAUGCAAGUCUCAGCACCCCUGUGAGAACGCCCUUUAACUCCCCAUAGGAACAAGGAGCUGGUAUCAGGCUCAACCCUUAGCCCAAGACACCUAGCUAUGCCACACCCACAAGGGAAUUCAGCAGUGAUUAACAUUGAACAUAAGCGCCAGCUUGAUUCAGUUAAAGUAAAAAGAGCCGGCAAAUCUGGUGCCAGCCGCCGCGGUUACACCACGUGGCUCAAAUUGACUUUACUCGGCGUAAAGCGUGAUUUAAGAGAUCAACUUAUGGUGUCAAAAAAGCACUAAGCUGUGACACGCUUGUGCCUCAGAAGUCCAAAAACGAAAGCUACACCAACCCCACCCACUUGAACUCACGACAGCUUGGAAACAAACUGGGAUUAGAUACCCCACUAUGCCUAGCCGUAAACUUUAACUUACACCUCAAUCGCCAGGGAACUACGAGCAAAGCUUAAAACCCAAAGGACUUGACGGUACCCCAAAUCCAUCUAGAGGAGCCUGUCCUAUAAUCGAUAACCCCCGUUAAACCUCACCACUUUUUGUUCAUCAGCCUGUAUACCUCCGUCGUCAGCUUACCACGUGAGCGUUAUUGAGUGAGCUUAAUGCCCCUACGCCAACACGUCAGGUCAAGGUGCAGCUAAUGAAGUGGGAAGAGAUGGGCUACACUUUCUAUAAUAGAAGAAACGAAAGACUACGUAUGAAACCUAGUCAGAAGGAGGAUUUAGUAGUAAAAAGAAAACAGAGUGUUCUUUUUAACCCGGCACUGGGGUGUGUACACACCUGCCCUGUCACCCUCUUCAAGGCCACAUACAAGUAUAUAACUAAACUUAGCCAUAUAGAAGAGGCAAGUCGUAACAUGGUAAGUAUACCGGAAGGUGUGCUUGGAAA
rnacentral:ncRNA from 1 species